CUCCAGUUCACAGGUCUGGAAAAAACCAACAGCAGCCCGGUGGCGGAGCCGGGUCUCCAGUGCACAGGGCCCUCACCCAGCCCUCCUCCCGGUCCUGGACUGCCAGGCAGUCCCCCUCAUCCACAGCCUGGCGUCCAGUCAGGGCCUCGCUCCCCUGAAAGACCCCCCUGUAGCGCGUGCUCCCCAUCUUGGCGUCAAAGCACCUGCUGCUCCGGCCCUGGGCGCCCCCCACCAGGGCUCAGCCCGAGGCGGCCCCAGGGCCCAGCGAGGACGGCGGGAGCCCGAGGUCACGCAGCAAACCUGCAGAGCAACACCAGGGGCACAGCCGCGGCCGGCUCAGCCUGGCCACCGGGAGCAGCGCCGCACAGCAGACCGGCAGACGUGGCUUCCUGCCGGCCCUGCAGCUUCUAUUUAUAGCUGAGCACGGAGAAGCCUCCCGCAAGGCACAGCCAGCCGCAGCCUGGGAGCUUGUAGCACAGCUCAGCUGCUGCCUCGCUGGUCACGUUCAAGUCUCAGGAGCCACCGCGCCCCAUGGCCUGGCCUCAGACGGCAAUUUCCACCACGCAGGGCGCCCGCUGGACGGCAGGGACCCGGACUGCACCAUUUGAACCCAGCUCUCUGCUAUGGCCUGGGAAAGCAGUGGAAGAUGGCCCAAGUCGCUGGGCUCCUGCACCCACGUGGGAGACCCGGAAGAAGCACCUGGCUCCUGGCUUCAGAUCAACUCAGCUCCGGCCGUUGUGGCCAUUUGGGCAGUGAACCAGCGGAUGGAAGACCUCUCUCUGUCUCUCCCUCUCUCUCUCUA